rnacentral:rRNA from 1 species
UACAGAGGUCUCAAGCGUUGUUCGGAUUCAUUGGGCGUAAAGGGUGUGUAGGUGGCGCCGUAAGUCGGGUGUGAAAUUUCGGAGCUUAACUCCGAAACUGCAUUCGAUACUGCGGUGCUUGAGGACUCGAGAGGGACACGGAAUUCCGGGUGGAGUGGUGAAAUGCGUAGAGAUCCGGAGGAACACCGAAGGCGAAGGCAGUGUCCUGGCGAGUGACUGACGCUGAGGUGCGAAAGCCAGGGGAGCGAACGGG